GGGUUUUGGUGGUACGUACACUAAGACUGGAAUGAUACAGAGAAGAUUGGCAUGGCCACUGCAGAAGGAUGACAUGCACAGGAGAGGAUCAAACUCGGAGGUG